AGUGAACGCUGGCGGUAGGCCUAACACAUGCAAGUCGAACGGCAGCACAGUAAGAGCUUGCUCUUACGGGUGGCGAGUGGCGGACGGGUGAGGAAUACAUCGGAAUCUACUUUUUCGUGGGGGAUAACGUAGGGAAACUUACGCUAAUACCGCAUACGACCUACGGGUGAAAUCAGGGGAUCUUCGGACCUUGCGCGUUUGAAUGAGCCGAUGUCGGAUUAGCUAGUUGGCGGGGUAAAGGCCCACCAAGGCGACGAUCCGUUGCUUGUCUGAGAGGAUGAUCAGCCACACUGGAACUGAGACACGGUCCAGACUCCUACGGGAGGCAGCAGUGGGGAAUAUUGGACAAUGGGCGCAAGCCUGAUCCAGCAAUACCGCGUGGGUGAAGAAGGCCUUCGGGUUGUAAAGCCCUUUUGUUGGGAAAGAAAAGCAGCAGGUUAAUACCCCGCUGUUCUGACGGUACCCAAAGAAUAAGCACCGGCUAACUUCGUG
rnacentral:rRNA from 1 species